GGGCCAAAAAGUCCUCUACUGACUUGAAGAGAGAUGAUGACUUAAAAAUCAUGCUCAAUAGGGUUAUGCUGAGGCCC